UAUAACUAUCUUUCUCCUGACAGGUUUCAGGAGGAGAAGAUGAAAUUCAGCAGCUACAAAAGGCUUUGCUGGAUUAUCUAGAUGAGAAUACAGAAACCGAUGCAUCAUUAGUGUUUUCUCGGAAGUUUUAUAUAGCUCAGUGGUUCCGUGAUACAACUAUGGAGACAGAGAAAGCAAUUAAAUCUCAGAAGGAUGAGGAUUCAUCUGAAGGAACUCAUCAUGCAAAGGAUGUUGAGACCACAGGACAAAUCAUGCAUAGAGCAGAAAGUCGCAAAAAGUUUCUUCGUAGCAUCAUUACAACUGCUGCAUCUCAGUUCAGUACAUUAAAAAUGAAUUCUGAUACUGUGGACUAUGAAGAUGCUUGUUUGAUUGUUCGCUACUUGGCCUCUAUGAGGCCGUUUGCCCAGAGCUUCGAUAUUUAUUUGACACAG